UACAGAGGGGGCAAGCGUUGUUCGGAAUUACUGGGCGUAAAGGGCUCGUAGGCGGUUCGUCGCGUCGGCUGUGAAAACCCGGAGCUCAACUCCGGGCCUGCAGUCGAUACGGGCGGACUUGAGUGUUGCAGGGGGAGACUGGAAUUCCUGGUGUAGCGGUGAAAUGCGCAGAUAUCAGGAGGAACACCGGUGGCGAAGGCGGGUCUCUGGGCAACUACUGACGCUGAGGAGCGAAAGCGUGGGGAGCGAACAGG
rnacentral:rRNA from 1 species